rnacentral:lncRNA from 1 species
CUGAGUUUUACUUAGUUAUACGGCAAAUUUUUUACCAAAUACAAAUUUUAUACUUGACGAAUAUUUCUCUGAGUUUAGGUUAUUACUUGAGGAUGUUUAAGCUUUCAUUUUGCAUUUUGUUUCCUUUCUUAGUUGGAUUCAAAAGUAUAAUAAGAAUAAUACAUGGCUUAGUUAGAGAUGAGUAAGGAAAUAUAGAUAAUGAUUCAUGAACCUCCUCAGUUUUUGCUUCACUUACUUGAGCAUGAUUGUUUUGGUCAUUU